UGAGGAAUUACUUUAUGUGUGUAGAUAGUUUACUUAGAGAAAGUCAACUAUUAGGACCAUGAUGGAAGGUAUAUUAUGUGUUUUCGUACUGCUUAUUUAACAAUGUAAUUCAAUAUUUUUGCAUUCAUUUACCACUGAAAAUGAUUUGCUGCUAUAUUUAUUUGAAACUAGUUGAUGCAUUAUACAAUUAUGCUAUUAAUCAAUAAUUCACUUUUGUCAAAUGUUUCUCUUUGCAUGUCAAGUUACAGCUGCUCCAAUAAAAGCUUUUUUUUUGCUGAACUAGUCAAGCUUCUCUUCUCGUGUCUUCACUAGUAGGUCAGUUUCUUUUGCUAGCUUUAUGCAUUUCUCAUUUCAAAUUUGGUUCAAUAUCUAACGAUUAUCAACGUUUUUUAUGUUGUUUCAAAAUAAGAGACACAUAACUUUGUUUUGGUUUUGGGAGAGUUACCUAUACAUAGGGAAGACAAAGAAUGUUCUAUUUGUAUCCCUCUUUUUUGCUUUUAAAUGCAUGACACCAGAUUUACCUAUAUUGCGGAGACUGAAUAUUUUUCUAUAAUUUCAUGCAUUUUGAACCAGUUCUUCAUAGGGGUGGCAGGGGUAGUACAAGCUUGUUCAUGCUAUGUUAAUAGUCCUUGUAGAAUGAGGUGAAGAGCACCUGUAACUAUUUUUCAGAUUGGUGAGUAAAUCAAUUAUAAAAUUAUGUAGAGAUAUUUUUUGAGUCACUGGUACCUAAUAAUUUUAUAGGACUUGUUUAAUUUUCCAUGUUCUGUUUGUAUGUUGAUUAAUUUUCUCAUUGGAUUCAUCUCUAACUGAAUAGUAACAAAAUUGAGGCCAUUUAGAUAUAGAAUAUUAAUUUUGACUUUUCUAGUCAUAUUUUCUUCUCUUUUCUAUGUCACUAUUCAGCUUUUCUACUGGUACCAUAGAAUUAGGAGUGCUGAUUGGAAAAGGUGGCUAUUUUGGAAAUGUAUUAAAACUACACCUCUCUUAUGUUUCAGCCAAGAAGAUGCAGGUUACAUAUAUCUCUAAUUCUCUCUCUUGUUAACAUUACAUAAAUAAAUAGUUCUAGUGAAUGUCUUGUAACUUUUUAAUUUUUUUGGGUGCAAAUUUCCUAGUGGAUGCUAUGCACUACACAUUAUCUAAAAUGUUAAGCUUAAAUUAGAUGCAAGUGUUGGUUGAACCUACAAUUAUCAAUGGCUUCUUUCUUUGCAGAUAUAUUAAUACCGGUCUUGGUUCAGGUUGGAAUUAGGUGGCUGCAAUUAUUUAAUUAUGGUAUUGGUGAGCUUAGAAAGUAAGGAUUUGUUGGGCUGUUGCUCGAGGACAAUAUUCAAGACUAUUAAAUGAAAUCAUAUUUAUAGUUAGUGAGAUUUAAGCAUUCUGGUUUCAUGAUAUGACAUUUGUGUAGUCUAUGUAAUUCCAUUUGUACUUUCUUAUCUGUUGUAUCAUUUCAUAUAGGUUGUAGUUUUUUUGUUAAGAGCGUUGGAUCUUGAUUUAGGUGUAGUUCUGCAUAUUGUCAAUGCUGAGCAACUAAUGGAAUAUUUUGUAAUUUUGGCACUUCAAAAUAUUUUGUGUGCUUUGUGGUUGUCUUUCCUUUUAAUGCAAGUGUUGUUUAUUCAAAACAAUAAAAUAGAUUAUUAUCUAUUUAGAC
rnacentral:lncRNA from 1 species